rnacentral:rRNA from 1 species
CUACGGGGGGCUCCAGUGAGGAAUAUUGCGCAAUGAGCGAAAGCUAGACGCAGCAACGCCGCGUGAGCGAUGAAGGCCUUCGGGUCGUAAAGCUCUUUUCUGGGGGAAGAGGAAGGACGGUACCUCAGGAAUAAGUGUCGGCUAACUACGUGCCAGCAGCCGCGGUAAAACGUAGGACGCAAGCGUUAUCCGGAUUUACUGGGCGUAAAGCGCGUGCAGGCGGACCGUUAAGUCGUGCGUGAAAGCUCCCUGGCUCAACCGGGAGAGGUCGUACGAAACUGGCGGACUAGAGGACAGCAGAGGAGUGUGGAAUUCCGGGUGUAGUGGUGAAAUGCGUAGAUAUCCGGAGGAACACCAGUGGCGAAGGCGGCACUCUGGGCUGUACCUGACGCUAAGACGCGAAAGCAUGGGUAGCGAACGGGAUUAGAUACCCGUGUAGUC